AGCGAACGCUGGCGGCAGGCUUAACACAUGCAAGUCGAGCGGGCACUUCGGUGUCAGCGGCAGACGGGUGAGUAACACGUGGGAACGUACCCUUCGGUUCGGAAUAACGCUGGGAAACUAGCGCUAAUACCGGAUACGCCCUUUGGGGAAAGGUUUACUGCCGAAGGAUCGGCCCGCAUCUGAUUAGCUAGUUGGUGGGGUAAUGGCCUACCAAGGCGACGAUCAGUAGCUGGUCUGAGAGGAUGAUCAGCCACACUGGGACUGAGACACGGCCCAGACUCCUACGGGAGGCAGCAGUGGGGAAUAUUGGACAAUGGGCGCAAGCCUGAUCCAGCCAUGCCGCGUGAGUGAUGAAGGCCUUAGGGUUGUAAAGCUCUUUUGUCCGGGACGAUAAUGACGGUACCGGAAGAAUAAGCCCCGGCUAACUUCGUG
rnacentral:rRNA from 1 species